CUUGUCUCUCAAAAGCUCUGACCUCCAGUGUAAUGCCACUGUCUUUCUGCCGCCGGCUGGAGAUCGCCUCCGCCGGUAGCGAUUCUCCGAUGACCCCCAAAAUUACACCACCCCACCUCCUCGACCUCCACUAUCCAAAUAUGGGCUUGGUGUCCUUCAAAGCACAACCUAUCUCGUUGAAUAUUCAUUUGAAAUGGCGACUGCUCCGCUGUGCACGGUGGUGUCGCCCCCAAACCUCACCAAAAUUACACCCUAGACUCUCCUCACCUCCCUCUUCCCAAACCUCUAACUAGUUUCCUCAGAAUCUCACUAAAUAUUCUCGAAUUCCAAAUCGAAGAUGGGCAGAACCCUAGAAGUUCGAAGCUGUUGAUUUCUUCCCCAAAUUCUCGAUUCUAAAAGCUGAUUUGAGUCACAAAACAAUGCUUCCUUAUGUUCUUGACAAAGAACAAACGUCUAACAUCAUUUUGGGUCUCGAAUCAAAGUCCAGUACCUGUUUCAAGACCUACGUAAGUAAGUUUAUUUUCAUUCUUCUUUUAUUUGAACUCAUUGAUUUUAAAAAUUGGUUUUCGGAUUAAUCUAUUCAUUGUGCUUUAUUUCUAUUAUUGCUGGAAGUAAUUAGUAUUCUAGAUUUUGAGUUUGGUUUCUUUUUUGAUUACUAUUUUUAAUUUUAUUUUUGAUAUUUGGCUGGACUGUCUACUGGAUUUCUAGUCGCCAAAUUCCAUGUUUGCUGUUGCUUUUUUUACACCUUUAUUUUGUUGUUCAUUUUUCUAUAUUUUACACUAUAGUUCCAUGUGUUGUUUACGUUUUCCUUGUUUGGUUUUGUUCAGUAUAGUUUCAUUGUUGAACUGUUCAUUCAUGAUUUAGUGAUAAAAUUAGUCUUAGGUUAUAGUAUUAGUUUAAUUUUCAUGUGUUGGUUAGUUAGAUUGAUUUAUUAGCUCACUUUUUAUGAAUUGUUUGGAUAUAGAUGAAUGAUUCAACAUUGGUUUAUUUAACCAUGGUCAGUUCUGACCCAGAUUAAGGGGUAGGAUUAGUUUGACAUAGGUUAGUAAUUUUAGGACUAAUUCAAGGGUAGUGUAGGCUUUUCUCAAAAUAAGAAAUCCUGCAGUAACUAAUUUGGAAUCUCCUAGAACCUUCUAGAUUGAGCUUUAAUUAGGAUUUUAGGAAAUUAAGUCUAGUAACUUGGGUAACAAGACAAUAAGUAAAGGACUAACUAAGGAAGAACUAAAAAUAAAAGAGGGACUAAAGGUGUAAAAAUAAAAUCUGAAAAGUUACCCUAGCCUUAGCCUAUAAAAAGGGUAGUCCCUUGCCUUGCAAAUGAUUUUUUUUUGCUUUUGGAGAGAGUGAGUUUCAGAUCUGAAAGUUUGAGAGAAGUUAUUAUUUAGAGCCUAAUUUUCAGAGUUUAAAAUCUAAGAGCAAAAGUUUGAAAGAUCAAAUUCUGAUAGUAAAAUUCCUGCAAAUUUAAGUGAGAUAAUAGCCAAAAAUCUAAAAAAAGUGAGAGGAAAACUAUUGUUUCAUUAGUUUUCACUGAUUUCACUUGUCUCCAAUUUUUGAAAAUUGCUUAGUGUCACACAAGUAGGAAAUGGUUUUGAUAUGUUCUUCAAUAGCUUUGGUGGAAACUUGUUUGACUUGUUUGAUUAUUCAUCCUCUUGGAAACUUGGAUCAGUCAUGGGUCAAACUGUUUUGGCUAGCUGAUUAUUGAUGACUCAUGUGUGCUUUCUCACCCCUGAUUAUUUCCUUUGUCUAAUUUUCAGGUACUCCUUGAUUCUCUAAGAACUGAUGUGCAAACAUACAAGCUGUAAUUGUCUGAAGUUUUCUAUAGAAGGAUGACUAUUUUCCCUUACAUCUUCAAUGUCAAAUCUCUGUUUAAAAUGUCUGAGUUUUGUAGUUUGGUAUAGUAGUAUUUAGCC
rnacentral:lncRNA from 1 species